CAGUCGAACGAACCUUCGGGUGAGUGGCGCACGGGUGCGUAACGCGUGGGAAUGUACCCCUAGGUGAGGAAUAACGUAGAGAAAUUUGCGCUAAUACCUCAUAAUAACUUCGGUUCAAAGAUUUAUCGCCUAGGGAUCAGCCCGCGUCAGAUUAGAUAGUUGGUGAGGUAACGGCUCACCAAGUCGACGAUCUGUAGGGGGUCUGAGAGGAUGAUCCCCCACACUGGUACUGAGACACGGACCAGACUCCUACGGGAGGCAGCAGUGAGGAAUAUUGGACAAUGGAGGCAACUCUGAUCCAGCCAUGCCGCGUGAGUGAAGACGGCCUUAGGGUUGUAAAGCUCUUUCAAUUGCGAAGAUAAUGACGGUAACAAUAGAAGAAGCUCCGGCUAAAUUCGUGCCAGCAGCCGCGGUAAUACGAAUGGAGCAAGCGUUGUUCGGAAUCACUGGGCUUAAAGCGUAUGUAGGCGGAAUGGAAAGUCAGGAGUGAAAUCCCAGAGCUCAACUCUGGAACUGCUCUUGAAACUUCCAUUCUAGAAUCCUGGAGAGGUUAGGAGAAUUCCGAGUGUAGAGGUGAAAUUCGCAGAUAUUCGGAGGAAUACCAGUGGCGUAGGCGCCUAACUGGACAGGUAUUGACGCUCAGAUACGAAAGCGUGGGGAGCAAACAGGAUUAGAUACCCUGGUAGUCCACGCCGUAAACGAUGUUUGCUAGUUGUCAGGUCCAAAGGAUUUGGUGACGGAGAGAAAUCAUUAAGCAAACCGCCUGGGGAGUACGGCCGCAAGGUUAAAACUCAAAGGAAUUGACGGGGACCCGCACAAGCGGUGG
rnacentral:rRNA from 1 species